CGCCGGAUAGCUCAAUGGCAGAGCCAUAGCGGAGUUGAACGACCGCGAACGAUGGGGGUUCGAGUCCCUCUCCGGCGA
rnacentral:tRNA from 1 species